CCUACGGGUGGCAGCAGUGGGGAAUAUUGGACAAUGGGCGAAAGCCUGAUCCAGCCAUGCCGCGUGUGUGAAGAAGGCCUUCGGGUUGUAAAGCACUUUCAGUGGGGAAGAAAGCCUUGGGGCUAAUACCCUCGAGGAAGGACAUCACCCACAGAAGAAGCACCGGCUAACUCCGUGCCAGCAGCCGCGGUAAUACGGAGGGUGCGAGCGUUAAUCGGAAUUACUGGGCGUAAAGCGCGCAUAGGCGGUCUGAUAAGCCGGUUGUGAAAGCCCCGGGCUCAACCUGGGAACGGCAUCCGGAACUGUCAGGCUAGAGUGCAGGAGAGGAAGGUAGAAUUCCCGGUGUAGCGGUGAAAUGCGUAGAGAUCGGGAGGAAUACCAGUGGCGAAGGCGGCCUUCUGGACUGACACUGACGCUGAGGUGCGAAAGCGUGGGUAGCAAACAGGAUUAGAUACCCGUGUAGUC
rnacentral:rRNA from 1 species